rnacentral:rRNA from 1 species
CAACAGGGAUUGCCUCAGUAACGGCGAGUGAAGCGGCAAGAGCUCAAAUUUGAAAGCUGGCUCCUUCGGGGCCCGCGUUGUAAUUUGUAGAGGAUGCUUCGGGUGCGGCGCUGGUCUAAGUUCUUUGGAACAAGACGUCACAGAGGGUGAGAAUCCCGUAUGCGACUGGUUGCCUGCGCCUGUGUGAAGCUCCUUCGACGAGUCGAGUUGUUUGGGAAUGCAGCUCAAAAUGGGUGGUGUACUUCAUCUAAAGCUAAAUAUUGGCCAGAGACCGAUAGCGCACAAGUAGAGUGAUCGAAAGAUGAAAAGCACUUUGGAAAGAGAGUUAAACAGUACGUGAAAUUGUUGAAAGGGAAGCGCUUGCAAUCAGACUUGCGCAGCGCCGAUCAGCCUGGGUUCUCCCUGGUGCACUCGGCGCUGUUCAGGCCAGCAUCAGUUUCGGCGGUUGGAUAAAGGCUUGGGGAACGUAGGUUGCUUCGGCGACCGUUAUAGCCCCAGGUGCAAUGCAGCCUGCUGGGACUGAGGACCGCGCUUCGGCUAGGAUGCUGGCGUAAUGGUUGUAAGCGACCCGUCUUGAAACACG